rnacentral:rRNA from 1 species
GACGAACGCUGGCGGCGUGCUUAACACAUGCAAGUCGAACGGGCCUGUCUUCUUUUUUGGGGGGUGGGUUGAGUGGCGAACGGGUGAGUAUCACGUGAGUAACCUGCCCUUCGGUCCUGGAUAACCGCUUGAAAGGGCGGCUAAUACGGGGUGGUCCGGUUGGUCCGCAUGGGCUGGUCGGGAUAGAUUCACUGUUUUUGGUGUUUCGGCGGGGGAUGGGCUCGCGGCCUAUCAGCUUGUUGGUGGGGUGAUGGCCUACCAAGGCGGUGACGGGUAGCCGGCCUGAGGGGGGGGGCGGCGACACUGGGACUGGGAUACGGCCCAGAGUCCUGCGGGCGGCAGCAGUGGGGGGUAUUGCACAAUGGGCGGAAGCCUGAUGCAGCGACGUCGGGUGAGGGAUGGAGGCCUUCGGGUUGUGAACCUCUGUUUCCGGUGGUGAAGGCCCUGUCCGUGUGGUGGGGUUGACGGUAGCCGGGGAUGAAGCGCCGGCUAACUACGUG